rnacentral:rRNA from 1 species
UACGUAGGGGGCAAGCGUUGUCCGGAAUCAUUGGGCGUAAAGCGCGUGUAGGCGGCUCGGUUAGUCCGCUCUGAAAGCCCGGGGCUCAACCCCGGGAGGCGGGCGGAUACUGUCGGGCUAGAGUCCGGAAGGGGCGAGUGGAAUUCCUGGUGUAGCGGUGAAAUGCGCAGAUAUCAGGAGGAACACCGAUGGCGAAGGCAGCUCGCUGGGACGGUACUGACGCUGAGACGCGAAAGCGUGGGGAGCAAACAGG